rnacentral:rRNA from 1 species
UUGGGAGACUUUAAUGAAAUUUUACUUUCUUCGGAAAAAGAGGGAGGGAAUGCGAGGCCUAAUGCAAUGAUGAGAGAAUUUCGUAAUUGUUUGGGAGAGUGUGGUCUAGAAGAUAUAGGCUAUAUCAGUGAUCUAUUCACUUGGAGGAGAAGCGAGAUUAGGGAGAGACUUGAUCGUGUGGUUUGUAAUGUGGAGUGGGCGAAUAAAUUCCCUCGGUCUGCAAUCAUAAACGAAGAACAUGUACACUCUGAUCAUCGACCCCUUGUCCUGGACACGGAAUAUUAUGAUGGUAACAUGUUUAAUCAACCUAGAAGUUGA